UUCACGGUGGCAGUUGUAAGCAUUAAAGUUCAGCAAGAGCUACUUGUGCUGCUACCUAUGCCUCUUCCAACCCCUCUGUGGAAACAACUGUGCUUACCUUUAGGUUCUGAGAUCCAGAGAACACAAUGGUAGAUGUAGAAGGGAAGAACAAAGUGCACUGGUAGAAAUGAUGCUGAGGGAUCACUUGGUCCAUGGCCAAAGUUCUUCUGGAGAGUGUCAGGGCUGGUCCCACCUGCAGAGGGGCAUUUCCUGCAGGUUCCCUGAAUGGUGUAGGACACAUUACAGAUGUUGGGUCAUGUACAUUUGGAAUCUGCAAAUUCCAGGAAAGAAGAGUCGCCACCCAGACAGAGUCAGCACUGUGGCAGCAACAGCCAAGGUGCAGUAGAAGAUAUGUCUCUCUGAACAAGACUCUAGUCUUUAAAAAUCCAGAGACAACAAGUCUGAAUUCAAAGGAACCAUUACAAAACUCCGAUACAGUACUGAGGAUGUAGAGUUGUUGUGCAUGAGGGGUUUUGACAUUCCCUUACUCCCAGAAGCAGCUCUAGAGAGCCCACUGGAUAUCACUGAGGUCAGCUGUGUCUCCCAGGCCCCCAUCAGCCUCCAGGUAAUUCAUCAGAGCUGUCAUCACAGUGUCAUCGUUCUCACAGAUGGCAUCAAAGUCCAGCUGAGAAUUGCCACCUAUACAGUGAUUAAAACAGGGAGCUUGAAGCAGGUGUGAACACUAUGAACCAUGGAGAACAUGGUAACUUGCAGAACAGAACUGGUUUGAAGCAGAACAUGCCUUUGAAGUCAAGACAAAUAUUUCUAUGUUAAAAAAAACCCUAACUUGACUCCUUUUUAGUUCAACACCAUUCCUCCUUAUUCUGUGUUGUUGGAGUUGUUUUUAAUGCUUUUUUUUUCCUAAACCCUUAUUAAAGAAUUAGCUUUUUCUA